rnacentral:misc_RNA from 1 species
UCUCCGUAGGUGAACCUGCGGAGGGAUCAUUACAGAGUUCUCGCCCUCGCGGGUAGAUCUCCCACCCACUGUUAUCGUUACUGUGUUGCUUUGGCGGGCCGCCGGGCCCCGCCCGGCCGCCGGCUCCGGCUGGCGCGCGCCCGCCAGAGGCCCAGCAAACUCUGAAUGUUAGUGUCGUCUGAGUACUACAGAAUAGUUAAAACUUUCAACAACGGAUCUCUUGGUUCUG